UGGCGACCGGCGCACGGGUGAGUAACACGUAUCCAAACCUGCCGAUAACUCGGGGAUAGCCUUUCGAAAGAAAGAUUAAUAUCCGAUAGGAUAUCAAGAUCGCAUGAUCUUGAUAUUAAAGAAUUUCGGUUAUCGAUGGGGAUGCGUUCCAUUAGUUAGUUGGCGGGGUAACGGCCCACCAAGACGACGAUGGAUAGGGGUUCUGAGAGGAAGGUCCCCCACAUUGGAACUGAGACACGGUCCAAACUCCUACGGAAGGCAGCAG
rnacentral:rRNA from 1 species